AUUGAACGUACUCCCUCCCCGUCUUAAAAAUAUUCAACGUUUGACCAUCCAUUUUAUUUAAAAAAAAUAUGAUUAGUAUUAUUAUUAUUAUUAUUAUAUGAUAAAACAUAAAUUAUAUUUUAUGCAUGAUUAUUUUUUUUAAUUUUUUAUAAAUAUUUUAAAUAAGAUGAACGAUCAAACAUUACACACGAAAACCUACGGCUACACUUAAA
rfam:Oryza punctata chromosome 3, whole genome shotgun sequence.